GGCAGCGGACGCCCGGCCCCCGUGCAACAGCGCAUGAGGAAAGUCCCCCCACCGUCGGGCAGGCGACCGGGUGCAAACCCGGGGCGGGAGACCGUGGGGCCCUGGAACAGAAACGACACGUCUCCGUCAGACCGAUGCGGUGUGCGACUCCGGGCCGAGUUUCGACGAGGACCGGGACGUUAACCCACCGAGGGACGACGACGGAGGACCGAUGGAACGGCCAUCCCUCGCCGGUGCAAGUCCGCGCGGGUAAGGUAGCCCGACGAGCGCGCGGAUGCUCAGCCGAAUGCCGGGUCGAAACAGAAGGGGGCUUACGAUCCGCAGCC
rnacentral:RNase_P_RNA from 1 species